GCAAACUUGGUCAUUUAGAGGAAGUAAAAGUCGUAACAAGGUUUCCGUAGGUGAACCUGCGGAAGGAUCAUUAUCAAUCUUUAGCGGAUCUUGGCUUAUCCAUGGUCUCGCGAAUCAUAUAUUUAAAACCCAACUCAUAAAUAAAUAAUACUUUGUAUCAUUAUGAUAUAAAUAAGAUCACUUUCAACAACGGAUCUCUUGGCUCUCGCAUCGAUGAAGAACGCAGC
rnacentral:misc_RNA from 1 species